GGAAAUCUCUCUCUCUCUCUAUCUCUCUCUCUCGUUUCCUCCGUCAAACCACAUGCAAAUCUCUUUUUCAUAGAAAGAUAAAUUAUCAAACACUAAAUCAUCAAUUUUUGAAAUUGUAUCCUCUUGGUCAAGAAAUUUUAUCAGCUUUAGAUCCAUCAAACCUAUCAAACCUCUCUCGCUCAAACCAUCAAGUUUUGGGUAUUUACACGAUGGCCCAUAAACUCCCAGAAGCUGGAAAGCAUGAGCCUUGUUUAAGAAAAAGCUCAUUCACUCUUCACGCUUCCACAAAUGCUUUUUUUCUGACCAUCAUUAUUCACCGCCGCCUCCGCCGCAUUACCAUCGAAUUACUGUCAUCAAGUAACAUCUUCGGUGGAUCAGUUCAGAAGACGAGAGUUUGUUAAGGAUGAAGUACCGACUAUUAGUUGUUACCAUGGUUCUUGGAAAUAUCUUUCAUUUUUCUUUAUGAUGUAAUUUGUGAAAUAACUGGUUAAUAUUUUACUUGACUUUUUGUUGUUUUAGUUAGCCUGUAAUAUAUUCUAGUUAUCUAGAUAUCAUUAUUCUUAGUUAGUAAUUUUAAUUAAUGGUCGGCUAACACUAUAGUUAUCCGAUUAUGCAUGAUUCUCGAUUAUAAUUAUCCGG
rnacentral:lncRNA from 1 species